GGUGGACCUGCGGAAGGACAUUG
rnacentral:rRNA from 1 species